GAUGAACGCUGGCGGCGUGCCUAAUACAUGCAAGUCGAGCGAACGGACGAGAAGCUUGCUUCUCUGAUGUUAGCGGCGGACGGGUGAGUAACACGUGGAUAACCUACCUAUAAGACUGGGAUAACUUCGGGAAACCGGGGCUAAUACCGGAUAAUAUUUUGAACCGCAUGGUUCAAAAGUGAAAGACGGUCUUGCUGUCACUUAUAGAUGGAUCCGCGCUGCAUUAGCUAGUUGGUAAGGUAACGGCUUACCAAGGCAACGAUGCAUAGCCGACCUGAGAGGAUGAUCAGCCACACUGGAACUGAGACACGGUCCAGACUCCUACGGGAGGCAGCAGUAGGGAAUCUUCCACAAUGGGCGAAAGCCUGACGGAGCAACGCCGCGUGAGUGAUGAAGGUCUUCGGAUCGUAAAGCUCUGUUAUUAGGGAAGAACAUAUGUGUAAGUAACUGUGCACAUCUUGACGGUACCUAAUCAGAAAGCCACGGCUAACUACGUG
rnacentral:rRNA from 1 species